UACGUAGGGAGCAAGCGUUGUCCGGAAUCAUUGGGCGUAAAGCGCGCGUAGGUGGCUUCGUAAGUCCGUUGUGAAAGUCAAAGGCUCAACCUUUGAAAGCCGAUGGAUACUGCGGAGCUAGAGUACGGAAGUGGCGAGUGGAAUUCCUGGUGUAGCGGUGGAAUGCGCAGAUAUCAGGAGGAACACCAAUAGCGAAGGCAGCUCGCUGGGACGUUACUGACACUGAGGCACAAAAGCAUGGGGAUCAAACAGG
rnacentral:rRNA from 1 species